rnacentral:rRNA from 1 species
GCCAUGCCGCGUGNAGGAAGACUGCCCUAUGGGUUGUAAACUGCUUUUAUACAGGAAGAAACCUUUUCACGUGUGAAAAGCUGACGGUACUGUAAGAAUAAGGAUCGGCUAACUCCGUGCCAGCAGCCGCGGUAAUACGGAGGAUCCAAGCGUUAUCCGGAAUCAUUGGGUUUAAAGGGUCCGUAGGUGGAUAAUUAAGUCAGGGGUGAAAGUUUGCGGCUCAACCGUAAAAUUGCCUUUGAUACUGGUUAUCUUGAAUUAUUGUGAAGUAGUUAGAAUAUGUAGUGUAGCGGUGAAAUGCAUAGAUAUUACAUAGAAUACCAAUUGCGAAGGCAGAUUACUAACAAUAUAUUGACACUGAUGGACGAAAGCGUGGGGAGCGAACAGNAUUAGAUACCCUGGUAG